AUCAUGUUCAACUCCUUUGCACACUUUUAUAACCCCAUAACUUUCAUGAGGAAACCAGAGUCCACAUAGACCCAUUGACUUAAAGUUUUUUUUACCUAGACUCUUGGGCUGUUUGAAAUCCUGUGAGAUUUUGCGAGAUGGAAAAUGAGUUUUUAAAAGUUGGGUGGUGCCUAUCGUUUGAUCUAGGAGAGCAUGUAAUGGACAAAGAAGUUUAGAGCUGGCUGAUGCAGGCUAGGCCUCCAUUUGAUGGUGAGCUACCACUAGCCCUCUGGCCCAUGGACCCUGGAAACUCAAUUGCUGGAUCUCCAUCUAUGCGGUCGGAGGCAUUGUAGUCUGUCCCCAUCACCUCCAAAUACUGUAAAUAAUUUUCCAACUACAAGAUAAAUCACUUUAUGAUGUAUAUCAUUAAGUGAUUUUUGAUAUAAAUGCAGUAUUUUUCUGUCUCUG